rnacentral:lncRNA from 1 species
ACCUUUCUCCAAACAACGUUGCCACACGCGGAGAGCACGGAGAUUUCUGGGGCUUUGGAGGGAAUCGUGAGCGGGCGGGAGGAGGCCGGGGACCACACAGAGAAUAACUUGUCUGACUACCAGUAUUCUUGGAUGCAGAAGUGCUGAAGAUGAGCACACACACGUACGGAGAAUUUCUGGAGAAUUCAGCUGCUCAGAACAAGAACUGAGAUCCAGAGAGAUGAUGACUUUGCCCAUAGACCAAACAAAGAAAUACAUGUUUCAGUCCUGUGUCCUCCUGCUAUGUGUGUCCGGAAUUGGUGGGUUCUUGGUCUCACUGACUUCAAGAAUGAAGCUGCGGACCCUCGCGGUGAGUGUUACAGUUCUUAAAGGCAGUGUGUCCAGAGUUUGUUCCUACUGAUGUGUGGAUGUGUUCGGAGUAUCUUCCUUCUGGUGGGUUCGUGGUCUCGCUGGCUCAGGAGUGAAGCUGCAGACCUUCGUGGUGAGUGUUACAGCUCUUAAGGUGGUGCGUCUGGAGUUGUUCAUUCCUCCCAGCGGGCUCGUGGUCUCACUGGCUUCAGGAGUGAAGCUGCAGACCUUCGCGGACCGUGUGUGAAUGCCUGCUCUGUGAGCCCUCAGAAUCUACUGGCUGAAUGAGUGCGUGGAGGAAAUGUGCUCAGAGCUGCUGUGUGUCAUCCUGUGUUUGAAGUGCUCCUGCAGCUAUCAUUCAUCCAGUUAAGAAUUUGAAGAAGUGUGUGCACAAAGUUGUCCCAUUUUCCUUUGCAGGAUGUACCAGACUAUUAAUAUUGGUGACCAUGGGCUAGGGAGUAUGUUCUUGAUAAAUUUACAAAAUCUUCUGAUCAACUAUAGACUUUAAAAAUAUAACAUCAAUUUUUUAAUAAAA